AUUGAACGCUGGCGGCAGGCCUAACACAUGCAAGUCGAGCGGAUGAAGGGAGCUUGCUCCUGGAUUCAGCGGCGGACGGGUGAGUAAUGCCUAGGAAUCUGCCUGGUAGUGGGGGAUAACGUCCGUACACGGGCGCUAAUACCGCAUACGUCCUGAGGGAGAAAGUGGGGGAUCUUCGGACCUCACGCUAUCAGAUGAGCCUAGGUCGGAUUAGCUAGUUGGUGGGGUAAAGGCCUACCAAGGCGACGAUCCGUAACUGGUCUGAGAGGAUGAUCAGUCACACUGGAACUGAGACACGGUCCAGACUCCUACGGGAGGCAGCAGUGGGGAAUAUUGGACAAUGGGCGAAAGCCUGAUCCAGCCAUGCCGCGUGUGUGAAGAAGGUCUUCGGAUUGUAAAGCACUUUAAGUUGGGAGGAAGGGCAGUAAGUUAAUACCUUGCUGUUUUGACGUUACCAACAGAAUAAGCACCGGCUAACUUCGUG
rnacentral:rRNA from 1 species